rnacentral:rRNA from 1 species
GUACACGCUGUGACUAGCAUAUCAAUAAGCGGAGGAAAAGAAACUAACAAGGAUUCCCUCAGUAACGGCGAGUGAAGCGGGAAGAGCUCAAAUUUGAAAUCUUGCAAGGUUUACCUUUCACGAAUUGUAGUUUAAAGAAGUGUUUUCUGCUUACGAUUUGGUAAUAAGUUCUUUGGAAUAGGACAUCAUAGAGGGUGAGAAUCCCGUAUGGUUGACCAGUAUUUGUCAGCUUUGUGAUACACUUUCGAAGAGUCGGAUUGUUUGGGAAUGCAGUCCAAAAUGGGAUGGUAAAUUUCAUCUAAGGCUAAAUACUGGCGAGAGACCGAUAGCGAACAAGUACCGUGAGGGAAAGAUGAAAAGAACUUUGAAAAGAGAGUUAAAUAGUACGUGAAAUUGUCAAAAGGGAAGCGUUUAACACCAGUGUUGUUUUCUGAAAAUCAACCUCUGUUAGCUUUAUGCAUGUUUGUUUAGACCUAAUCAGCUAUCUUUCAUGUUCUAUUGUUUGCAGUGGUGCACUUUUCAGUUUACAGGUCAACAUCAGUUUUUUUUACCGUAAAAAAGUUAGAGAAAGGUAGCUCAUGGCUCCGGUCGUGAGUGUUAUAGUCUUUUUCCUAUGCGGUAGGAGAGACUGAGGUCUGCAGUGUAGGCUAUUUGGCUAGAUACUCAGGUGCUAUGUGAUACCAUUUCAUAAACGACUUGUUGAUUAUGUUUUGUCUAUUGCAUACUCGCUUGUACUAUCAUACCUACGCUUAGGAUGUUGAGUAGCGACAUACGCAC